rnacentral:rRNA from 1 species
AGCGAACGCUGGCGGCAGGCCUAACACAUGCAAGUCGAACGAACCUUUCGGGGUUAGUGGCGGACGGGUGAGUAACACGUGGGAACGUGCCUUUAGGUUCGGAAUAGCUCAGGGAAACUUGUGCUAAUACCGAAUGUGCCCUUCGGGGGAAAGAUUUAUCGCCUUUAGAGCGGCCCGCGUCUGAUUAGCUAGUUGGUUGAGGUAAUGGCUCACCAAGGCGACGAUCAGUAGCUGGUCUGAGAGGAUGAUCAGCCACAUUGGGACUGAGACACGGCCCAAACUCCUACGGGAAGCAGCAGUGGGGAAUCUUGCGCAAUGGGCGAAAGCCUGACGCAGCCAUGCCGCGUGAAUGAUGAAGGUCUUAGGAUUGUAAAAUUCUUUCACCGGGGACGAUAAUGACGGUACCCGGAGAAGAAGCCCCGGCUAACUUCGUG